CACGUAGGGCGCAAGCGUUGUCCGGAAUUAUUGGGCGUAAAGAGCUCGUAGGCGGUCUGUUGCGUCCGCUGUGAAAACUCGGGGCUUAACCCCGAGCCUGCAGUGGAUACGGGCAGACUAGAGGUAGGUAGGGGAGAAUGGAAUUCCCGGUGUAGCGGUGAAAUGCGUAGAGAUCAGGAAGAACACCCGUGGCGAAGGCGGCCCACUGGGCCGGACCUGACGCUGAGGCGCGAAAGUGUGGGGAGCGAACAGG
rnacentral:rRNA from 1 species